CCGGCAGCUCGUACGCGGACUCGAGGUUGUAGAUCUUUUCGUAGCUGUCCAUUUCUACGGACACGCCGCCUGAGCUUCGCCAGUUGCUCGCCAGGAAGAAGUAGUAAUCCUGGGGUACCGGAUGCGCGGGGCAGAGUCAGCGCCGGAGAUGGGGGCACCGUGAGGGGUUUCCGGGCGCCGCCCCUUUCCCGGCUCCCAAUCCGCUCCGCCUACCUGGUCUUGUUUGUUGUUCUCCCACCAGCGCCAGGUGGGGUCGUGCACCGGGUCCGCGUACGGCUGCAGGGAUCGCCCGGCACCGUGAAGGGAUUGGGCAGCGGGGCGAGAGCCUCCAGGCCUCGCCCUCUAAAGCCCGCUCCCCGCUGCCCCAGUCCGGUCUCAGGCCUGCCCGCCCGCCGCCGGACGCCCACCUUGUCGUACACGGAGUGCAGCCACAGCAGGUAGUAGACCAGGCCCUGGUAGAUGGCGAGCGAGUUC
rnacentral:antisense_RNA from 1 species